rnacentral:lncRNA from 1 species
UACGAUCUGCAAUUUCAUGAGAGUAAUAAGAUAUCGUAAAAAGAGGAAACUUCGGUGAAAAUAUCUUCACACUACGCAGUUUCAGUAUAAAUUGUAACGUGGCAAGUGAAAAUUUUGUCCAUUUUAGUUUCUACUAAAUUUUAUUCUGAAAAUCAUCAUAUUUUUUUGAAAUAAAAAAUUGAGCAAAAUGUCACUUUUUAGUCUUGUUAUAAUUUGCUUUACUUGUCUAGCUGGAAUUGGAGAAACUAUGCCUAUAGCAAAAUUUUUCGAUGGCAUUGGUAAAAGCUAUUUGUCUACUUUAAUACAUUUAUAUCCUACUCUAAAACCUAAUGCUUAUUAAAUUUUUAAUUUGUUCUUAAUAUAAAUGUAAUCUAAGAGUGCAUAAGUUUUCUGACCUCCAUAUUCAAGUUCUUGGCUUUGACUCUCUAUUCCAUGUCUUAAAAUGUUAUAUUUAUAGUAAUUUUCAUCUGUGCAUCUUAGUUUACUAAGUACUUUUGAACCCAUACUCAUAUUAUUAAAAACAUAUUAAUAUAAGUAAUUUAUUGCAGUAUAAUAAAACCAUCUUAGCCUUUAUUUAACAGAUUGGUUAUUUUGUACACACUGUUAGUAAUUACUCAGAAAAAUGGUUAAACAAAAAUUUAUUUAAUUGCUACUUUACCAUAUUGAAACAAAACAGUCAAUUAAUCAUAAAUAAGACGGUAAUCAAGCUGCUAAUUGUGAGAAAAACCGUUUAUUAACUGCCCUCACCUAAUUCCGUUAAGCAACCAAAUUUUACUGCACCAACUCAGCCUAUCUCAUUAAGUCAUAUAGUGCAAUCUUGCAACCUUGUAACUGCUUAUAUUAUAGCCGAGAGGGCUAAUCUGUCAGUUUCUUGACCGACAGAGCUGUGGUACGGGUUCCAGCGAUAACGCCUGAAUAUUUCCUCCAUUUUCUUCAUAUGAAGAAUUUCCAGUGUUCUGUAAUCCGCAAUUUACUUUCUGGACAUUCCGAUA